AAACUGUGUCACGUGUGUGUCGAAUCGGACCGUCGAUUAUUUAUUUUCGUUCUACUCGACAAUUCCAAAAAUCAGUGCCAUUCAUUGGCUUUAGCUUUGCCCUUGAACUUGAAAUCUCGUGCCUUAUUCUUUCCUGGGGACUGGUGUUGGAUAUUGAACGGGCGGAGUUACCGCCGGGAUGAUGGAUGAAGGAGAUGAUGGCCUAAACUUGGCUGCGCGCAUUCUCAUUUUCGCGUGGCCUGCCACUAGUGUUUCGCACAUUCACAAAGGGUGUCACAGGCAUAGCUGGAGGAAGAAAGGUACUACACGAAUGCGAAACGCGACAAACUCUACAACGUCAUUAGCCUGGAGUUCACCAAGACUAAGUUGGAGCCUCUAGUGCAGUCACCCAGUCUGGUACGUCAUUUGGAUUGGGUGGACUUGGUGUGGCCGGAAAUAUUGCGCGCUUUGCAGCAGGAGGCCACCAACCGACUGGUCGACAUGAAAUAUCCCAAAGUGCAAAAGUACUGCCUGAUGAGCGUCGGUGGCUGCUACACAGAUUUCCGUAUCGACUUUGGUGGCACAUCCGUCUGGUAUCAUAUUCUCAAGGGUGGAAAGGUCAGCAUUCCCUGUCUGUCUGUCUGUCUGUAUGUAUGUCUGUCUGUCUGUAUGUCUGUUUACCUUUCUGUCUGUUUAUCUGUCUGUCUGUUUCUCUACCCAUCAUCCAUCCGUACUUGUAUGUAUAUUUACCUCUCUGUCCAUCCUUCUGACUGACAAGCUCCUUAUAAUCACGAAUGUGUCUUGUAGCAGAACCUGAGAAGGAAGUGGAAUGAGAAGAAGAAAGCUGGCAUUGGCUUAAGUGUACAGCAUUUCACUGAUUAGAAGUCGCACUUGAUGAUAAGUCGCAACAGGUCUGAGCCAAGUUGUUUCAAUACAGUACAUUCACAUAUGGCCCAGAAUCUGCGAAAACCAGGCUUAGGGUGAAAAUCAUUUUUUUGAGAAAAUUGAUGUUUUGUAAAAAGGUUGUGUCGCGUGGACGAUCGAGUGCAGUGAAGUGGAACCAAAGAGAAUCUCGCUUGUUUGAAGAAGUAGUAUUCAUGGCAGGAAGGGUUUCAGCAGUCAGGGAAGUCAAAGGGCUUCCGGUAGAAUAUUCCCUGCUACUCCUCUAGUCACAACGAAGAGUUUUUGAGCUGAUCGAACGGAUUCCAUCUCCUACACUCAGGAAUGGCGAAAUUUCUGCGCUAGCUGCUGCUUGCGGAAAAUGGUGAAGAAAUCGUCUCCAGUUAGAGUCGUGAUGGCGAUAGCGAGGAGAACCUGGACGACAUCGAUCCAGCCAAUCGAAGUACGGAGAUACUAGCUGUUUCUGAGCCUCACGCAAAAGGAACACGCGCAGCAGAGCUCAUACGUUUGCAGCAAGUUCACGAGGAAAAAAAAAGGCUUGAAACGCAGUGUGAAAACUGUUUUGAAUUGAUGUCCUUGGCGAUGAAGUGCUACUGAAGGCCAGGCGAAUGAGUGAGCAGAUCGAGAGGCCCCCACUCGAGACUUUCCUCGCUGGUCAGCUAGCUGCAAGGGAUUGUCCAGCGUGCCGAUAUUUCACAUGCUGGUCAGCACCAAGCAGAUACUGCAGCACGCCAGCACACUAUGCUCUUACUAUGAACAGUGGAACAGUUUGAAAGGCUGUGUUCUUGCUUGUUAGUGAACAGUUGUACUAGAUUCACCCGUCAAAAGGUGCCAUCUCAACUGGAGUCGGGUUUCCUUGUGGUGUGUAGCGCCAGAGCACACCAGUACAUGUAUUCAGCUCCAGAAUGUGCUGAGUGAGGAGCAAACAAAAUUCAUGCAGAACUGUGCAUGGCCACUACAGCCUGCAGCACCAAGAGGCCACAACAAGCCUGCCCCCACAUGCCUACCUUGUCAUGUCACCUAAACAAAAAUCAUCCAUGUCUCUUCCUUCAGUCUGGUGCAUCUCUCUUCAUUUCUUUCCUGUGAUAACAAUUUUGUGUUUUUUUGGGAUUUUUUAACACAAUACCCUAGUGUGUUUGAGAUAGAUUUAAUACCACUAUUAGUCGACCCACACCUGUAAUAUUUUGUUUCCUGACCUUCCAUGCCCAGUAGAAGCUGAAAAUGGGAAAAAGUCAUUUUGUGAAAUUUCACCCUAAGCCCGGUUUUCGCAGAUUCUGGGCCAUAUUACGUAGGAAGAAGUCACGCUCGAUCGUAAGUCACACCACCUUCUUUAGGGGUCUUCCGUAAUUUUCGAAAAAUUAAAAAUCCGUCCUCGUGCAAAAUUGUCUCUGACCCACCCACCCACCCCCAUUUUUUCCGUUAAGUUUUUGAUUUUACCGAUGCCCAGCUGGAAAAUAAUAACUCCUGACGCCAUGUUUUCUGACUGCACCUACAUUGUAUGUCAAGUACUAGUAGCUAAGUACAGUGAGUAGUAGGUCAACCGACGGACAUGCACGUCCUACAACUACAUGAAAAGUCUGAAAAGUCAUGUAUAACAGUUAGUAGAUACUGGUGUUUGCGACAAUCGAUCCUACACUACGUCUACAGCAGGGAGUCGUAAAAUACCGGUAUUUUACGACUCCCUGGUCUACAGUACACUACACAGUCAGUGCAACAAGUGUAUGAAAGUCCCGGCCUGGAACAAAACCAAAAAAUACGAAAAAUCAAAAAAAUUAAUUCCGCCAGCACUCUUGACCACCCACCCCCUUUUUGCCUGAGGACGGAUUUUUUAAUUUUUCGAAAAAUACGGACGACUCCUUACCUGUUCAUUGGUUGAGGGAAAGAUGCAAACGGGAAAACGUCUGAAGAAAAAAUUGACUGGCGCCACCAGGACUCGAGCCAGGGGCUUUCACUUGAGGGCAGCGGUGCUCUAACCCUUCUGUUGCAAACCACCAGUUCUCAAGUGGGAAAGGCCUUCGCGCUGAUGGCAUUGUAUUCAUUGCAAUGUUGUAUUGCGACUCUGCCGUAGCGCUGAUGUUGCUGCAUGGCAUACGCUAUAUGCGCUGUGUUCAGUUUACAGUAUACGCUGUAAUGUCAUGUUUUAUAUGUGUAUGUUUUUCAUACACAUCUACACUGUUUUGCAUGCUAUAAAUACCUGCUGUUGUUAUUACUGUUCAUUAUUGUUAUAGUCCAUCAAACUGAAAUAUACUGUCAAGAAUAAAAUAGUUGUCCUCAUGCCGUGUGGUCAUUCCUUCCUGACACUUUAGAGAACCAGAGGUUUCACAACACCUUCUUUGCCGUUGAGGUUCAGUGUAAAAACGUGUGACUAACUCUACUGUUUACAAUGCGGCCGUCUGUGUGUGUGUGUGUGUGUGUGUGUGUGUGUGUAUGUGUGUGUGUGUGUGUGUGUGUGUGUAUGUGUGUGUGUGUGUGUGUGUGUGUGUGUGUGUGCGUGCGUGCGUGCGUGCGUGCGU